rnacentral:rRNA from 1 species
AUCGAUGAAGAACGCAGCGAAAUGCGAUAAGUAAUGUGAAUUGCAGAAUUCAGUGAAUCAUCGAAUCUUUGAACGCACCUUGCGCUCUUUGGUAUUCCGAAGAGCAUACCUGUUUGAGUGUCAUGAAAAUAUCAACCUUGACUUGGGUUUAGUGCUCUUGUCUUGGCUUGGAUUUGGCUGUUUGCCGCUCGAAAGAGUCGGCUCAGCUUAAAAGUAUUAGCUGGAUCUGUCUUUGAGACUUGGUUUGACUUGGCGUAAUAAGUUAUUUCGCUGAGGACAAUCUUCGGAUUGGCCGAGUUUCUGGGACGUUUGUCCGCUUUCUAAUACAAGUUCUAGCUUGCUAGACAUGACUUUUUUAUUAUCUGGCCUCAAAUCAGGUAGGACUACCCGCUGAACUUAAGCAUAUCAAUAAGCGGAGGAAAAGAAACUAACAAGGAUUCCCCUAGUAACGGCGAGUGAAGCGGGAAGAGCUCAAAUUUGAAAUCUGGUGGCCUCAGGCUAUCCGAGUUGUAAUCUAUAGAAACAUUUUCCGCGUUGGCCCAUGUACAAGUCUCUUGGAAUAGAGCGUCAUAGAGGGUGAGAAUCCCGUCCUUGACAUGGACUACCAGUGCUUUGUGAUAUGUUUUCAACGAGUCGAGUUGUUUGGGAAUGCAGCUCAAAAUGGGUGGUAAAUUCCAUCUAAAGCUAAAUAUUGGCGAGAGACCGAUAGCGAACAAGUACCGUGAGGGAAAGAUGAAAAGCACUUUGGAAAGAGAGUUAAACAGUAUGUGAAAUUGUUGAAAGGGAAACGAUUGAAGUCAGUCGUGUCUAUUGGACUCAGCCGGUUCUGCCGGUGUACUUCCUUUAGAUGGGGUCAACAUCAGUUUUGAUCGCUGGAAAAGGGCAGGAGGAAUGUAGCACUCUCGGGUGAACUUAUAGCCUUCUGUCGCAUACAGUGGUUGGGACUGAGGAACGCAGCUUGCCUUUAUGGCCGGGAUUUAUCCACGUACAAGCUUAGGAUGUUGACAUAAUGGCUUUAAACGACCCGUCUUGAAACACGG